rnacentral:rRNA from 1 species
GACGAACGCUGGCGGCGUGCUUACACCUGCAAGUCGAACGGAAAGGCCCUGCUUUUGUGGGGUGCUCGCGUGGCGAACGGGUGAGUAACACGUGAGUAACCUGCCCUUGACUUUGGGAUAACUUCAGGAAACUGGGGCUAAUACCGGAUAGGAGCUCCUGCUGCAUGGUGGGGGUUGGAAAGUUUCGGCGGUUGGGGAUGGACUCGCGGCUUAUCAGCUUGUUGGUGGGGUAGUGGCUUACCAAGGCUUUGACGGGUAGCCGGCCUGAGAGGGUGACCGGCCACAUUGGGACUGAGAUACGGCCCAGACUCCUACGGGAGGCAGCAGUGGGGAAUAUUGCACAAUGGGCGGAAGCCUGAUGCAGCAACGCCGCGUGCGGGAUGACGGCCUUCGGGUUGUAAACCGCUUUCGCCUGUGACGAAGCGUGAGUGACGGUAAUGGGUAAAGAAGCACCGGCUAACUACGUG